GACGAACGCUGGCGGCGUGCCUAAUACAAGCAAGUCGAGCGAAUGACGAGGAGCUUGCUCCUCUGAUUUAGCGGCGGACGGGUGAGUAACACGUGGGUAACCUGCCUGUAAGACGGGGAUAACUCCGGGAAACCGGAGCUGAUACCGGAUGAUAACGAGAAGCGCCUGCUUCUUUUUUGAAAGUCGGUUUCGGCUGACGCUUACAGAUGGGCCCGCGGCGCAUUAGCUAGUCGGUGAGGUAACGGCUCACCAAGGCGACGAUGCGUAGCCGACCUGAGAGGGUGAUCGGCCACACUGGGACUGAGACACGGCCCAGACUCCUACGGGAGGCAGCAGUAGGGAAUCUUCGGCAAUGGACGAAAGUCUGACCGAGCAACGCCGCGUGAGCGAUGAAGGCCUUCGGGUCGUAAAGCUCUGUUGUCAGAGAAGAACAAGUACCGGAGUAACUGCCGGUACCUUGACGGUACCUGACCAGAAAGCCACGGCUAACUACGUGCCAGCCGCCGCAGUAA
rnacentral:rRNA from 1 species